CAUGGUUGCAAAAAGACACAAAACACUUCAAAAUACAUAAAGUCACAUUUACUACACAAAACACAGACAUGUAACAUAUCCCCAGAUAGCUCAGGUCUGAGCGCACAUUAUUAAGUGAAUGGCGCUCAGACCACACGAAUACAGUUUAAUCGCCAUGGAGCCAAAGUCUUUACAGUCAGUUUCAUACAAAUGGGCUCCAUGGGAUUCCUAUCUGGGGUAUAACACAUUCAAACAAAUC